AACGUAGGUUCCGAGCGUUAUCCGGAUUUACUGGGCGUAAAGCGCGUUCAGGCGGUUUGGCAAGUCGGGCAUGAAAUCUCUCGGCUCAACCGGGAGAGGUUGUCCGAUACUGCUGGACUUGAGGGCAGUAGAGGGUGGUGGAAUUCCGGGUGUAGUGGUGAAAUGCGUAGAUAUCGGAGGAACACCAGUGGCGAAAGCGGCCACCUGGACUGUACCUGACGCUGACACGCGAAAGCUAGGGGGAGCGA
rnacentral:rRNA from 1 species